AUUGAACGCUGGCGGCAUGCCUUACACAUGCAAGUCGAACGGUAACAGGUCUUCGGAUGCUGACGAGUGGCGAACGGGUGAGUAAUACAUCGGAACGUGCCUAGUAGUGGGGGAUAACUACUCGAAAGAGUGGCUAAUACCGCAUGAGAGCUACGGAUGAAAGCAGGGGAUCGCAAGACCUUGUGCUACUAGAGCGGCCGAUGGCAGAUUAGGUAGUUGGUGGGAUAAAGGCUUACCAGGCCGACGAUCUGUAGCUGGUCUGAGAGGACGAUCAGCCACACUGGGACUGAGACACGGCCCAGACUCCUACGGGAGGCAGCAGUGGGGAAUUUUGGACAAUGGGCGCAAGCCUGAUCCAGCAAUGCCGCGUGCAGGAUGAAGGCCUUCGGGUUGUAAACUGCUUUUGUACGGAACGGAAAGCCCUGGGUUAAUACCCUGGGGUCAUGACGGUACCGUAAGAAUAAGCACCGGCUAACUACGUGCCAGCCGCCGCAGUAA
rnacentral:rRNA from 1 species